AUUGAACGCUGGCGGCAGGCCUAACACAUGCAAGUCGAGCGGAUGAAGGGAGCUUGCUCCUGGAUUCAGCGGCGGACGGGUGAGUAAUGCCUAGGAAUCUGCCUGGUAGUGGGGGAUAACGUCCGGAAACGGGCGCUAAUACCGCAUACGUCCUGAGGGAGAAAGUGGGGGAUCUUCGGACCUCACGCUAUCAGAUGAGCCUAGGUCGGAUUAGCUAGUUGGUGGGGUAAAGGCCUACCAAGGCGACGAUCCGUAACUGGUCUGAGAGGAUGAUCAGUCACACUGGAACUGAGACACGGUCCAGACUCCUACGGGAGGCAGCAGUGGGGAAUAUUGGACGAAGGGCGAAAGCCUGAUCCAGCCAUGCCGCGUGUGUGAAGAAGGUCUCCGGAUUGUAAAGCACUUUAAGUUGGGAGGAAGGGCAGUAAGUUAAUACCUUGCUGUUUUGACGGUACCAACAGAAUAAGCACCGGCUAACUUCGUG
rnacentral:rRNA from 1 species